GAUGAACGCUGGCGGCGUGCCUAAUACAUGCAAGUCGAGCGAACAGACGAGGAGCUUGCUCCUCUGACGUUAGCGGCGGACGGGUGAGUAACACGUGGAUAACCUACCUAUAAGACUGGGAUAACUUCGGGAAACCGGAGCUAAUACCGGAUAAUAUAUUGAACCGCAUGGUUCAAUAGUGAAAGACGGUUUUGCUGUCACUUAUAGAUGGAUCCGCGCCGCCUUAGCUAGUUGGUAAGGUAACGGCUUACCAAGGCGACGUUGCGUAGCCGACCUGAGAGAAGGAUCAGACACACAGGAACUGAGACACGGGCCAGACUCGGAGGGGAGGGAGAAGUGGGGAAUAUUGGAAAGUGGGCGCAAGCCUGAUCCAGCCAUACCGCGUGGGUGAAGAAGGCCUUCGGGUUGUAAAGCCCUUUUGUGGGGAAAAAAAAGAAGCAGGUUAAAACCCCGCUGUCCUGACGGGACCAAAAGAAUAAGCACCGGAGAACUUCGU
rnacentral:rRNA from 1 species